UACGUAGGGUGCAAGCGUUGUCCGGAAUUAUUGGGCGUAAAGGGCUCGUAGGCGGUUUGUCGCGUCUGCUGUGAAAACUCGGGGCUUAACCCCGGGCCUGCAGUGGGUACGGGCAGACUAGAGUGCGGUAGGGGAGACUGGAAUUCCUGGUGUAGCGGUGAAAUGCGCAGAUAUCAGGAGGAACACCGGUGGCGAAGGCGGGUCUCUGGGCCGUAACUGACGCUGAGGAGCGAAAGCGUGGGGAGCGAACAGG
rnacentral:rRNA from 1 species